rnacentral:rRNA from 1 species
GAUGAACGCUGGCGGCGUGCCUAAUACAUGCAAGUCGAGCGAACAGACGAGGAGCUUGCUCCUCUGACGUUAGCGGCGGACGGGUGAGUAACACGUGGAUAACCUACCUAUAAGACUGGGAUAACUUCGGGAAACCGGAGCUAAUACCAGAUAAUAUAUUGAACCGCAUGGUUCAAUAGUGAAAGACGGUUUUGCUGUCACUUAUAGAUGGAUCCGCGCCGCAUUAGCUAGUUGGUAAGGUAACGGCUUACCAAGGCAAUGAUGCGUAGCCGACCUGAGAGGGUGAUCGGCCACACUGGAACUGAGACACGGUCCAGACUCCUACGGGAGGCAGCAGUAGGGAAUCUUCCGCAAUGGGCGAAAGCCUGACGGAGCAACGCCGCGUGAGUGAUGAAGGUCUUCGGAUCGUAAAACUCUGUUAUUAGGGAAGAACAAAUGUGUAAGUAACUAUGCACGUCUUGACGGUACCUAAUCAGAAAGCCACGGCUAACUACGUG